AAAGAAACUUUUUCUCCUCAACAUAAGAAAGAAAGAAGCAGCAGCAAGAAUGUAUGGGGAUUGCCAAGUAAUGUCUACAAUGGGAGGCAACGUAGUUGUAAACUCAUCCAAAACACUUUUCUCUUCUCCGAUCCAAAACAACAGCUUCACCUUCAUGCCUACCAUGCAUUUCCAUCACUCUUUUCCCACCAUGAAGGAAGAAGACGGGAUCUUGCGAGGGAAAGAAGAGAUCAUGGAGAGCGGUUUAGGGAGUGAACAAGUUGAACAAUUAUGUAUGAUCUAAGGGAAGGAAGUUUAAGAGGGCUAGAAGAAGGAGGAACAGCAAAGGACUUAGGAUUUAAGUUGUAUUGUUUUUGUAUUUUUCUUUAGUUUUUAGUUUUGGAAUUUGAACUC